rnacentral:rRNA from 1 species
GACGAACCGUGCGAACGUUAUUCGGAAUCACUGGGCUUAAAGGGCGCGUAGGCGGGCUACCAAGUCCGGGGUGAAAUCCUCCAGCUCAACUGGAGAACUGCCUCGGAUACUGGUGGUCUCGAGGGAGAUAGGGGCACGCGGAACUGUGGGUGGAGCGGUGAAAUGCGUUGAUAUCCAUAGGAACUCCGGUGGCGAAGGCGGCGUGCUGGAUCUCUUCUGACGCUGAGGCGCGAAAGCCAGGGGAUCAAACGGG